GGAGUCACAGCUCAGUGGUAGAGUAUUUGCCUUGCAUGCAGAAGGUCCCAAAUUCAAUUCCCUGCAUCUCCA